rnacentral:misc_RNA from 1 species
AGCAGCCGCGGUAAUUCCAGCUCCAAUAGCGUAUAUUAAAGUUGUUGCGGUUAAAAAGCUCGUAGUUGAAUUUGGGUCUGGCCGGGCGGUCCGCUCUCUGGGUGAGUACUGUUCCGACGUCGGGCCUAUCUUUCUGGUAAGUCGGCAUGUCCUUUAUUGGGUGCGUCGGGGAACCAGGACCAUUACCUUGAAAAAAUUAGAGUGUUCAAAGCAGGCGUAUGCCCGGAUACAUUAGCAUGGAAUAAUGAAAUAGGACGCGUGGUGCUAUUUUGUUGGUUUCUAGAACCGCCGUAAUGAUUAAUAGGGAUAGUUGGGGGCAUUAGUAUUCAAUUGUCAGAGGUGAAAUUCUUGGAUUUAUUGAAGACUAACUUCUGCGAAAGCAUUUGCCAAGGAUGUUUUCAUUAAUCAAGAACGAAAGUUAGGGGAUCGAAGACGAUCAGAUACCGUCGUAGUCUUAAACCAUAAACUAUGCCGACUAGGAAUCGGGCGAUGUUAUUCUCAUGACUCGCCCGGCACCUUA